rnacentral:rRNA from 1 species
UACAGAGGUGGCAAGCGUUGUUCGGAAUUACUGGGCGUAAAGGGCGCGUAGGCGGCCUUCUAAGUCAGACGUGAAAUCCCCCGGCUUAACCUGGGAACUGCGUCUGAUACUGGAAGGCUUGAGUGCGGGAGAGGGAUGUGGAAUUCCAGGUGUAGCGGUGAAAUGCGUAGAUAUCUGGAGGAACACCGAUGGCGAAGGCAGGUCUCUGGGCCGAUACUGACGCUGAGGAGCGAAAGCGUGGGGAGCGAACAGG